rnacentral:rRNA from 1 species
ACCAUAGCGUCCGUGACCCACCCGAUCCCAUCCCGAACUCGGCCGUGAAACCGGACAGCGCCGAUGGUACUUAUGCUUAAGCAUUGGAAGAGUAGGUCGUCGCCAGGC